rnacentral:rRNA from 1 species
CCUACGGGUGGCAGCAGUGAGGAAUAUUGGUCAAUGGACGAGAGCCUGAACCAGCCAAGUAGCGUGAAGGAUGACUGCCCUAUGGGUUGUAAACUUCUUUUAUAUGGGAAUAAAAUGUUCCACGUGUGGGAUUUUGUAUGUACCAUAUGAAUAAGGAUCGGCUAAAUCCGUGCCAGCAGCCGCGGUAAUACGGAGGAUCCGAGCGUUAUCCGGAUUUAUUGGGGUUAAAGGGAGCGUAGGUGGAUUGUUAAGUCAGUUGUGAAAGUUUGCGGCGCAACCGUAAAAUUGCAGUUGAAACUGGCAGUCUUGAGUACAGUAGAGGUGGGCGGAAUUCGUGGUGUAGCGGUGAAAUGCUUAGAUAUCACGAAGAACUCCGAUUGCGAAGGCAGCUCACUGGACUGCAACUGACACUGAGGCUCGAAAGUGUGGGUAUCAAACAGGAUUAGAUACCCUUGUAGUC